CAGUAGCCGCGGGAAUACGAAGGUCCCGAGCGUUGUUCGGAAUCACUGGGCGUAAAGGGAGCGUAGGCGGCGUGGUAAGUCAGAUGUGAAAUCCCGGGGCUCAACCCCGGGACUGCAUCCGAUACUGCCGUGCUAGAGGAUUGGAGAGGUAGCUGGAAUUCUUGGUGUAGCAGUGAAAUGCGUGGAGAUCAAGAGGAACACUCGUGGCGAAAGCGAGCUACUGGACAAUAUCUGACGCUGAGGCUCGAAGGCCAGGGUAGCAAAAGGGAUUAGAUACCCGCGUAGUCCCUGUCUCUUAUAU
rnacentral:rRNA from 1 species